rnacentral:rRNA from 1 species
GAACGGGUGAGUAACACGUGGGUGAUCUGCCCUGCACUUUGGGAUAAGCCUGGGAAACUGGGUCUAAUACCGAAUAGGACCACGCGCUUCAUGGUGUGUGGUGGAAAGCUUUUGCGGUGUGGGAUGGGCCCGCGGCCUAUCAGCUUGUUGGUGGGGUAAUGGCCUACCAAGGCGACGACGGGUAGCCGGCCUGAGAGGGUGACCGGCCACACUGGGACUGAGAUACGGCCCAGACUCCUACGGGAGGCAGCAGUGGGGAAUAUUGCACAAUGGGCGCAAGCCUGAUGCAGCGACGCCGCGUGAGGGAUGACGGCCUUCGGGUUGUAAACCUCUUUCAAUAGGGACGAAGCGCAAGUGACGGUACCUAUAGAAGAAGCACCGGCCAACUACGUGCCAGCAGCCGCGGUAAUACGUAGGGUGCGAGCGUUGUCCGGAAUUACUGGGCGUAAAGAGCUCGUAGGUGGUUUGUCGCGUUGUUCGUGAAAACUCACAGCUUAACUGUGGGCGUGCGGGCGAUACGGGCAGACUAGAGUACUGCAGGGGAGACUGGAAUUCCUGGUGUAGCGGUGGAAUGCGCAGAUAUCAGGAGGAACACCGGUGGCGAAGGCGGGUCUCUGGGCAGUAACUGACGCUGAGGAGCGAAAGCGUGGGGAGCGAACAGGAUUAGAUACCCUGGUAGUCCACGCCGUANACGGUGGGUACUAGGUGUGGGUUCCUUCCUUGGGAUCCGUGCCGUAGCUAACGCAUUAAGUACCCCGCCUGGGGAGUACGGCCGCAAGGCUAAAACUCAAAGGAAUUGACGGGGGCCCGCACAANNNGNGGAGCAUGNNNNNUAAU